CAUUGACAGUUUGAGCCCGCCUAUUUUUAAGGCCAUCCUUCUCCCAAAAGAUGGAAAAUAUGCCAGAGACAGUUUUGUAUUGGGCUAGUCCAUCAAGGAUCAAAGAUUCAAAGUUUACUGGAGACCAAAAGUUCUACGACAAGUGUAAGACCCAGAUAACACCUUCAUAGAACUAUGAGCGAGAGACGCCUAUGGCUUACCUGGAACUAUAUGGAAGUCAUUCAUCUUUGGAGAGAAUACGUUUUACUUGCUUGUAGAACUCCUAACAAGUCAUUUCAAAGCUUCACUUGUUUGGGACAAGGAAUCCU